UACAGAGGUCUCAAGCGUUGUUCGGAUUCAUUGGGCGUAAAGGGUGCGUAGGCGGCGUGGUAAGUCGGGUGUGAAAUCUCGGAGCUUAACUCCGAAACUGCAUUCGAUACUGCCGUGCUUGAGUGUGGGAGAGGUGCGUGGAAUUCCCGGUGUAGCGGUGAAAUGCGUAGAGAUCGGUAGGAACACCAGUGGCGAAGGCGGCUCACUGGCCCGGUACUGACGCUGAGGCACGAAAGCGUGGGGGAGCAAACAGG
rnacentral:rRNA from 1 species